AACGAACGCUGGCGGCAGGCUUAACACAUGCAAGUCGAACGCCCCGCAAGGGGAGUGGCAGACGGGUGAGUAACGCGUGGGAAUCUACCCAGAACUUCGGAACAACUGAGGGAAACUUCAGCUAAUACCGGAUACGCCCUACGGGGGAAAGAUUUAUCGGUUCUGGAUGAGCCCGCGUUGGAUUAGCUAGUUGGUGGGGUAAUGGCCUACCAAGGCGACGAUCCAUAGCUGGUCUGAGAGGAUGAUCAGCCACACUGGGACUGAGACACGGCCCAGACUCCUACGGGAGGCAGCAGUGGGGAAUAUUGGACAAUGGGCGAAAGCCUGAUCCAGCCAUGCCGCGUGAGUGAUGAAGGCCUUAGGGUUGUAAAGCUCUUUCAGUGGGAAGGAUAAUGACGGUACCCACAGAGGAAGCCCCGGCUAACUUCGUG
rnacentral:rRNA from 1 species